GACAGAUUUGCUUGCCUUUUUCUCAUGCUUGCAAGCUCGCUCAUCUGGAAACGUGAUUUACCUCAGUCCUGCCAUGGUUUCCAGGCUUCUCAGUUUAGUGUCCCUUUGUCUCCUGGGAGCGAAGCACACAGCUGCUGGAGUUACUCAGUUCCCCAGCCACAGGGUAAUAGAGAAGGGCCAGGCUGUGACUCUGGGAUGUGACCCAAUUUCUGGACAUGAAUAUCUGUAUUGGUAUCGACGUGUUAUGGGAAAAGAAAUAAAAUUUCUGAUAAACUUUCUGAGAGACUCUAAACAGGAUGAGUCCGGUAUGCCCAAUAGUCGAUUCUCAGCUGAAAGGACCGGAGGGACAAAUUCCACUCUGAAGGUGCAGCCUGCAGAACUGGAGGAUUCUGGAAUUUAUUUCUGUGCCAGCAGCCUAGACACAGUGCUUCACAGUCAUGCCCUCGCUGUGCAAAACCAUAGCCUUCUCUCAACUCACACCUGCCCAAAAGGAAGGCUUUCCCUGUGCCUCCUCCCCCAGGGAAGGGGAGAUAAAGAACCAGAAUUAACUCUUGAAAAUACAAGAGUAUUCUAAGAAGAUUUGGGUGAAAAUAGUUGUGGUUUGGGGGAUCUCUGAACUUCCUUACACCGAAUUCGAUCUAUGUGUUGCUGGUUUUGUUUUUUAAAGCAUAUGUUGCCCUGGUUAUAAAGUACAGUAGACUUCUUGCCUAUCCUGCUGCUCUGAAAGGUUCAUGACUCUGACUGUGAGGCCACAUCUUUAUAUCCCUUCUUGUAGUAAGAUGAAGAAUUCUUUCUAAUGGAAAUAAACAUAGCGAAUAAAAAUGCAUUUACUACUGAUUUUUAGGUUGCUCAAUGACGACUCUAGUAACGGUGGCAGUGGUGACAUUGGUAAUAGUGGUAAAUAGUUUAGGUUGUUUUUGUCUAGCAUUUAUAAAUUUUCAAACUCUUUAAAACAAUCUGAUUUUUGAGUGCAGCAGCCAACUCCAUUAUCAGAGGUAAAUGCUAAUUUUUCUGUCCACAUAGGGUCUGAGAUUUUAAUAUAAAAAAUACAGCUAGCACUAUAAAUAGACAUGUCAGCUGACAUUUUUUGAGAUCACUUCCAGUUGCUGCAAUAGGAACAUGUGUUCCUUUUGACUUUCUUUCUUUUUUUUUUCUUAGACAGAGUCUUGCUCUGUCACCCAAGCUGGA